rnacentral:lncRNA from 1 species
CAGAAUAUGACCUUAUUUGGAAACAAGGUCUCUACAGAGGUAAUCAAGUAAAAAUGAGGCCAUUGGAGGUCAUAAUCCAAUAUGACUGAUAUCCUUACAAAAAGGAAAAAUUUGGACACAGAGACACACACAUAAAGGAGAACACCAUGUAAAGGUGACAGCAGAGGUUGGGAUAAUACAUUAAGGAAUGCCAAAGGUUGCCGGAAAGUCACCAGAAGGUAGGAGAGGGGUAUUGAACUUAUUCUCCCUCACAGUCGAGAAGAAACCAAUCCUGCUGACACCUUGAUCUCAGACUACCAGCCUCCAGAAUUGUGAGGCUAGAUCACAAAACCUUUGUGUUUAUGACAUAGUUUAUGACACUAUGCUAUGACAUAGCAUAGAAAACGAACGUAUCCACAACAACCAUGGAAUGGAGCUUCUCCCUUGCAAUGGCCUAGAAAAGACAUGAGAAGAGGAUCUAAAAGGUCACAAUAAUAUAGAGCCAUGGUAGCGGUAAAGGAAUAACUGAAAGGAAGAAAUGAUGACUUGAAGGUCCAUGAGCCAAAAUAUCCAGGAGAAGAGUAGUCAGUAAGAAAUCAGAAAGCCAAGAACAAGAAGUUUCUGAAGGGAAGGCUAGAAAAGAAGAGUAGAUGUGAGAAGAAAUAUUUUGGACACUGUAAACCAACAUUUAUUCAAAAGAUAUAUAAUUUGAUCUUUUCUGUGCCAAUAAACUAGGUAUUCAAAGUAGAAAAAAAACAGGAUUUGUGCUACUUUUCCUAGUUAACAAAGGGUGGAACACAUUACAUUUCAUUUGUGAAAACCGUUCAUAAUUACUUGAUGAAUUUUUUCCUAAUUAUAUAAAUAACUGUAUAUUAUGAGGCUUUAAACUACUAAAUUAUAAAAAAUUUUGUUUAAUGCAUACAUCAAGGUUACAAACAGAAAGUGUAGGUUACUGCACAUCAACAAAUCAAAUGAUCAUAAAUUCUAAUCUAAGUUAAU